rnacentral:rRNA from 1 species
GACGAACGCUGGCGGCGUGCCUAAUACAUGCAAGUAGGACGCUGAAGGAGGAGCUUGCUUCUCUGGAUGAGUUGCGAACGGGUGAGUAACGCGUAGGUAACCUGCCUGGUAGCGGGGAAUAACUAUUGGAAACGAUAGCUAAUACCGCAUAAUAGUAGAUGUUGCAUGACAUUUGCUUAAAAGGUGCAAUUGCAUCACUACCAGAUGGACCUGCGUUGUAUUAGCUAGUUGGUGGGGUAACGGCUCACCAAGGCGACGAUACAUAGCCGACCUGAGAGGGUGAUCGGCCACACUGGGACUGAGACACGGCCCAGACUCCUACGGGAGGCAGCAGUAGGGAAUCUUCGGCAAUGGACGGAAGUCUGACCGAGCAACGCCGCGUGAGUGAAGAAGGUUUUCGGAUCGUAAAGCUCUGUUGUAAGAGAAGAACGAGUGUGAGAGUGGAAAGUUCACACUGUGACGGUAUCUUACCAGAAAGGGACGGCUAACUACGUG